CAAAACUCAAAAGAGAAAAGGGAAGUCAGGAGCUUUAACUUGGAAGUCUAUUAAACAAGAAUUGGUGUUUCGUCACCAUUAUUACAGCAAGAAUCGUUAUUAUCAUGGAAAAGAGGAGCCAAUUUAUAAGUAUUAAAUCUUGGAAAGUCUUAUCAAGCUAAGGACGUCAGUAAAUAGUGAGUAUGGCACAACUCAAGAGAACCACCCGGAAAUGGGUUUUUGGCAAAGGCAGGGAAAAGGCGCAUCACUCAAGCGGAGACUGCUAGACUACGCCGCUUGGUAUUACGAGAUAUAGUUAUUAUAAUAGUCUGAAAUCAGACUUCCCUUUAUGUAAUAAAGUUAGACUCGGUAGUAAUAUUGUAAGACGAUCGACCCUGGACUUGUGGGCAAGAGUUGGAUUAUGUAAAAUUAAUAUGUAAUGCAAGUGUUGUUUUGAGCCAGAUGUUUAGUGGCGGACUAGAUCUGCGAGAUGUGGAUCGGGGGC